UGAGGAACAUGACCUUCGGCGGGGGAUAGCCGGCCCAACGGCCGGGUAAUACCGCGUAAGACCACUUGGGGACAUCCUCGGGUGGUGAAAGCAGCAAUGCGCCGAUGAAGUGCCUCGCGGCCUAUCAGCUAGUUGGUGAGGUAACGGCUCACCAAGGCGACGACGGGUAGCUGGUCGUGAGGAGGAGUCGGCCGACGCCGACCUAGUUAGGGUACGUAGAGACGACCGGCCCGACGACUACCGUACGGA
rnacentral:rRNA from 1 species